rnacentral:lncRNA from 1 species
GAGAAACUUGUGGACUGGUCUAAGAGAAGAUAUUGAUAAAAAGAGAAAGUAGGAGGAUUUGCCAUGAAAUGCUGUGCGAAGUAGCAAAAAUAACCCUGAUUUGGGUACUCAGGGGAGGAAUUCCAGUUCUGGAGAAACAGACCCAAACUCUCCUGCAGAGGCUCACAAACUUGUUGGAGAAGAUGGACAUAUGGACAAAAUGGGACUUUUGAUAAAUAUAAGGUAGUGUAUGUCUGAGCCUGAGAUGUGGCAUGAAUUUCCUGUAAGAACUUUUAGAUUUUCUGAUGUUUUAUUGUAGUCCUAUUUAUUUUCUCUGUUGGUGAGUAGCUAAGAUGUGAAUGUAUUUAAAUUUAUAUUUAUGGAGCGGGGA